CCACACUUUAAAAAACUGUCCACGUGAACUGUAAGCAAGUCUAGCGCUGUGACUGAGCUGGUGUUUUCAUUUUUGGACACUGGAACGGGAGUCAGCAGGACGAAGGUUGGUCUGUUGUAAUGCAAGUUAUGAUGGACUAGCUGAUGAACUUUUAUUUUUAAACCCUUACCUAAAUACUGAUUUAUACUGUGGGGACGAAAGUCCUUGCUUUUACUAGAUAA
rnacentral:rRNA from 1 species